rfam:Lachnoanaerobaculum sp. ICM7 ctg120007550912, whole genome shotgun sequence.
AUAAGCAAAGAUAAAAACGCAAUGUACAUUUAUUGUGCUAUAGCCGGUAGGUAGCCCGGCAGUCCUAUAAGUAUAUAGGGUAAGUAACCUGCCCCUCCGGGUUGUCCGUUCUUUGUAAAGAAAUU